rfam:Ciona intestinalis ciona0619, whole genome shotgun sequence.
GCAUUGGUGGUUUAGUGGUAGAAUCCUCGCCUGCCACGCGGGGUGCCUGGGGAUUCCCGGCCAAUGCA